ACGGGUGAGUAAUGUCCGGGAAACUGCCUGAUGGAGGGGGAUAACUACUGGAAACGGUAGCUAAUACCGCAUAACGUCGCAAGACCAAAGAGGGGGACCUUCGGGCCUCUUGCCAUCAGAUGUGCCCAGAUGGGAUUAGCUAGUAGGUGGGGUAACGGCUCACCUAGGCGACGAUCCCUAGCUGGUCUGAGAGGAUGACCAGCCACACUGGAACUGAGACACGGUCCAG
rnacentral:rRNA from 1 species